rnacentral:snRNA from 15 species
AUACUUACCUUGGAGGGAGAGAAGGGGGCUCAAUAAUCCCCAUCCUCAGGGCUGGCGGGCCUGCAUUGCACAUCGUGGUCGCCUUCCGCCUUUUGUCGAUGCCUCGUGUGUCCCAAUCUCCGCAAUUUUUGAUACUC